rnacentral:rRNA from 1 species
GAUCCUGGCUCAGGAUGAACGCUAGCGGGAGGCCUAACACAUGCAAGCUGAGCGGUAGAGAUCUUUCGGGAUCUUGAGAGCGGCGUACGGGUGCGGAACACGUGUGCAACCUGCCUUUAUCAGGGGGAUAGCCUUUCGAAAGGAAGAUUAAUACCCCAUAAUAUUUAGAGUGGCAUCACAUUAAAUUGAAAACUGAGGUGGAUAAAGAUGGGCACGCGCAAGAUUAGAUAGUUGGUGAGGUAACGGCUCACCAAGUCGAUGAUCUUUAGGGGGCCUGAGAGGGUGAUCCCCCACACUGGUACUGAGACACGGACCAGACUCCUACGGGAGGCAGCAGUGAGGAAUAUUGGACAAUGGGUUAGCGCCUGAUCCAGCCAUCCCGCGUGAAGGACGACGGCCCUAUGGGUUGUAAACUUCUUUUGUACAGGGAUAAACCUAUCUACGUGUAGAUAGCUGAAGGUACUGUACGAAUAAGCACCGGCUAACUCCGUGCAGCAGC